AUUAUGCAGAAAAUCCCAUACCAGUUUUCUGUGGCAUAUCUUCCUAACUGCAAAACAAAGAUUAUUCUUCGUAAUUUGCAAGGAGAUCAUUGGACAGUGAAUUCAGUCCCAGACUCAAAAGGGCGAAUGGGACAUACGUUUUGUGGAGGGUGGAUGGCAUUUGUUCGUGGCAACGACAUAAAGAUGGGUGACACCUGUAUUUUUGAACUCACUAGCAAGUGGGAAAUGUAUGUUCAUAUGUCUGGGCAUGGAAAAAAAGGAAUUGAGCAUCAGCUUGGAAGAUUAGCAUCUAAUGAAAUGCUUGGUUCUUCAGCUACCGGCAACCGGUCUCCAACGUGAAACAUACAAAAACCAUUCAACCAUCUGUAAAAAUCUGCGAUAUAUAUAGCUUCUGAUUUGGAGAAUUUAGUUGUCAGAGACGGCAAACUUCUGGUGGUGCAAGAUAUUCUUUCAUGUUUGAGCUCAAUGCAAGGUGCAACAUGCUCAUGCAUCUUUUUUUAGAAGCUUAGCAGCUAAUGGAUGUGUCUUUUGACGUCGGACUAAAGCUGGACGAGUCAUUGAGCCUUAUUUGGGUAUUUCAGUCAUCCUUCGCCAAGAUAUUGCUGUCUGCUUGUCCCGAAAA